AAGGGCUGAGCUGGUAUUUUUUAUCCUGUUUUAUUUCUGCCUCCCUGGCUGAGUAACCCAAGGUGCAGUUUGGUUGUUUUUUUUUAGGUGGAGUUUUCGCUCUUCUUAUCCAGGCUGGAGUGCAGUGGCAUGAUCUCGGCCCACCGCAACCUCUGCCUUCUGGGUUCAGGCAAUUCCUGCCUCAGCCUCCUGAGUAGCUGGGAUUACAGGCAUGCGCCACCAUGCCCAGCUAAUUUUCUGUAUUUUUAGUAGAGACAGGGUUUCACCAUGUUAACCUGGUUGGUCUCGAUAUCUUGACCUCGUGAUCCACCCACCUCAGCCUCCCAAAGUGCUGGGAUUACAGGCUUGAGCUACCACGCCUGGCCAGGGUUGUGGGUUUUUUUUGCUCUAAUACUACUGGGGUUUUCUGGGGGGAUGAGAUUCAAGGGUUGAUAGAAGCUUUGUGGGUCCCUGCAUAGGGCUCAUCUCCCCACCCCACCUCUUAAGUCGUGAAGUUUGUGAAAGGGCUUCGUGGUUUUCUGACUUGUGGGUUUCCUUCAUGUCGAAUUUAGGGGCAACCUGGUCUUCAACGUGCUGUGACAUCUGCUGGUGGGCGGAAGUCACCAAAUUUUCCUCGGGGUGGGGUAGGGUCAGGCUGUUCCUCCCCUUCCCUUCCUGGAGCGGUGCCUGAGAGGAAGCCCAGGGGGGUGGUUGGAAAUGAGAGAUGUGGUGAGGAAGGUGAGGUUCUGGCCACCCUGUUUGCAGUUUGAAAUUGGCAGCUUGAUUCCUUGGUGGUUUCUGGGGGAGGUAGGGAGUUGAUAUUUGCACACCCUGCCCCCAUUUUUCAGACUCCCUGUGGCCUCUGGGGAGGAGUCUCAGGGACCCAGACUCUGGAAUUCCAGCUUCCCAGGGCCCGCCCAGAAGCCAGACCCCAGGGCAGGAGAGGAGCUUUUUAAGCUGCUUCCUUGCUCUGCACUUUUGACAUUCAGCUCUUCUUCCCUCCCUGUUUCUCACUGUCCAUCUCUCCCACAUCCACUGUGCAGGGAUUCCAGUCCUGAGGUGCGCACCCUGGCCCCAGGAGAAUGAACCAGCCACAGAGAAUGGCGCCUGUGGGCAUGGACAAGGAGCUCAGUGACCUACUGGACUUCAGCAUGAUGUUCCCGCUGCCUGUCACCAAUAGGAAGGGCUGGCGUGCCUCCCUGGCCUGUGCGCAGUUUGGAGCUUCAGGAAACUCAGGGAGACGGAAGGGAGGAGAUGAACCUUCCAGGGCCCCAGGCUCAGUGAUCUCAACCAGAGCUAAGACAUCAUCCCCAAGAGAAGAGCCUUCUGGCUAGGAGGAUGCGAUUUGGUCUGCGUCUUGACACCAGCCUCUGGUUUGGGAAAAACACUGAAGGCAGAACGGCAUGAGAAAGUCUCAGGAGAAAGGAGGCUUGUGUCUGGAGAGGGAAGCCCUUGGCAGCUGGAGCACCAGAUGUGAGAAGACAGUGAAAAUAGCAGGCCAGGAGGAUCCAGCUCUUGGGCAAGGACCUGACUCCUGUGGCAGAGCAGCCGAUAGACGAUGCAGGUCUGUGCUGCGCCCACCCUCCCAGCCACUGCACGUAACACAUCUUACCCACUGUCAUAAGCACGUGGCAAGGCCUCGCCAUGUGGCAUCCUGGCUCCUGACCUGCUGUAGAUGCUGUUUUCUUCUUUCUUCUGUCCUGACCGAAGGCCACCAGCUGGCUGUGGUUGAUCCAGCUGAGCAGAUCAUACCAUUUCUACCGCAUUUCUGUUCCACUGAAGUCAAAGAACUAUCCCUGAUCAGCCCAGGGCUGGGAAGGAGACUUCCGGCCAUUUGCUUUGUCCCAAGAAAUGCCCGAGUGCUCUGCGCCCCACAAGGCCAGUGCCCCCACUGCCUCCAUCAGUCUGCAUCUCUGACCCUGGGCAUCACGUUUCCAGGGUCCAGGAAGGAAGCCAAGAUGACAGCUUUUCUCCAGGAACAGAGGGAUGGUCCAAGAGCACUCCCAGGUCCAAAGUCUCUCCCUGCUGCAUCCUCAGCGUGCCUGUUUCCUUAGGGGACCAAGUCCUCUACUCAGUUCUGAGGAGGAUGUCCAAACCACAUGAUGGCCCUCGGAGAGCCUUUGGGCAGAGGAGUUGACACCAAUUUGGGCGGCAAAGGUCACAACACACUCGGCCCUGAUGGGGCUGAGGCAUUGCAGAGCUGAGCCCGGAGCUGGGUCUGUGAAUGGGGGAUAGGCUCAGAAAAGGCGGCCUGACGGGGCCUGCUGAGGAAGGAAGGAGCUUUCCUGGAACUCUGUCUUCUACUUCUUCCCUUCCCGAAGUCCAAACCUCCCCUGGAAGGAGAGGGGGUAGGGGAGCAGGGAGCUGGUUCUUGCCAGCCUAGCUCAGGGAUGUCUCUGCCCUUUCCUGGACAAGCCCACCCAGACCAGGCUGCCUGUGUGGCCCCAUGCAACACUUGUCUGGUCUCCACUUCCACGUAGUUUUCCCUCUUGUAUUCCAAGAUGGAGCCUCCACCUGGGUGCCCCUCAGGCUCCUCUUCUCCAAUAUUUCACAGCUGAGCCUGACUCAUUCCUCCUGGCCGGAUCUCCUCUGCUGUGCUGAAUCAGAGAUGGCCCCGCCAUCCCUCCAGGCCCUCUUGCUGGGAUUCCUCCUCCUCAAUUACCUCCCAUGGGGGAUCCCAUGGACCCUGUGAUGCUGACACCUCUCUGUGCUACCCGCUCUGCUUUACCCUGACCACCCAGGCUCACCUGGGCUUCAAGGCCACCUCAUGGUCUCCCUGCUGUCAGCCUCUCCUCCAAUCCGUCCUCCACACAGAUCCCCCAGAGUCACCUCUCCAAAAUCCAAAUCUCGCUGUACCCUCCCUCCCACAUAAAAGCCUUCCAUGGCUCCCACUGCUCUCAGGAUCCAAGUUUUUUGACUGACCCCCAAGACCCAGCUCCAACGGGACUCAUCUCCCCAGAGACGACCCCACUGCCCUGCAUUCCAGCCACACCACACUCCCCACCUCCGUGGCCCUGCCCUGAGCACUGCUCCCCAUCCCUCUGCCCCAGGUGCACUUUCCCUUUCUCUCCAAAUCCUCUCUAGCACCACCUCCUCCAGGAAGUCCCCUGAGACUGCCUACAGGAUCAGAGUAACCUGGCUCUUCAGGCCCCACUGGCUGGUUCACCUGUCUCUGGGCAUCUCCCACCAUCUUCUCAACUCCCCUUCUGCCAGACUGAGCAUCCAUGGGCAUUUUCUCUCCAUGUCUAAACUCCUAAUCCUGAGCCCAACCCACGGGCUGAUACAUAGGACACCUCAGUGAUUAUAAUUCCAACUAACAGGGGAAGCACCAAGCUCACUCCUGGCCCAAAGCGGGCCCAGGAUACAGGCAGAAGGGGCAGGGCCACCCCAGGUUCAGGGGACGCACAGGUGAAUUGGGUUGGCGGACAGCUGGAGAAGCAUCAAAUCAGCUGUGGGUGCAGAAUCUAUGCUGGAGGUCGCGGAGGGGCGGGACAGGUGACCCCAGAGAGCUCCUUUCUCUGCUCCAGAUCUCCUCCAUGUCCCCAGCCAAGAAGAAAAGCUGAUCGUCCCAGCCCUGCCCAGUUCCCAGAGGCCCUGUGGAAUGACGGCGACGAUGAGGAUGGUGACAGUAACAAAAACACUCAGUGCCAACACGUGCAGAGCAUGGAUGCAUGCCAGGGCUGCACUGUGCACUGCUGACUGGAUCCUAAUCAACCAUCACCCUGUGGUUGGAGCCAUUGCUGCUGUCCCCUUUCCUCGUACAGCUCGAAUAACCUGGCUGCUGCACAGCGGAUGGAAAGCCUUGGUGUGUGUGUGUAGACCGUGCCUUGCAGAGGGUCCAGGUUACCUGGAACUUCCAUCCGGCGUUUUGCUCCUGCAUCUCAAGGAUGGCUCCAGCCAUCCCUCACCUUCCUCAGGAGCCCUCCGAACAGCACCUGCCUCAGCGCCCCUGAUCCCUCCGCGGAGGCUUCCCUGACUGUGCCAGUUCCACUGACCACCAAAGUGUGCUGUGCUCUUGCCUGCGCCACCUCCAGCCAUACCUCGCUGGAUGCCAGGCCACCCCAGGCGAGACUGAGUGUCUCGGGUCUCCCCAAGGCAAGGGCUUCCUGGGGUGCCAGGCCCCUGCUAGUGCCCCUCAGGAUCCCAGCUCUGGGCCUUCCAGAUCCACCUCUUCUUUGUGGGGUGGUCUCUGCCAGCCUCUUCUCUGGCAGGACAACAGGGUUCCCACUGGGGGCAGUGACUCCUGUCCAUGAGAGGCACCAUCUCCUUGGGGUAGGCGUUCAUGGCUGGAACACAACCACAGGGCAGAUGCUCAGGCCGAGGGGACGAGGGGAGCGUCCAGGGCUUGGGAUCCGCAUAUGGCAGCAUCCAGCUCCCAGUCACACUCCCUAGGACAGGAAGCUCACUUCUCCCUUCCCAUGUAACCAACCUUUCUUCAAGGGCAGAGAAGCUGUCCCUAAAGCUUCCCCAGCUCCUGGCUCCAGCACCUCGAUGCUAUGGACCACCAUGGUGAUCCCCUAGAGACCCCCACGCCCCCAGCCUCUCUCAAGACACCAUUUCCAGCCAACCAGUCCCCAGGUGGACUCCUGAGCACUAGCUCUGCUUUCUUGAGGUCCCUCUCUCUCAGACUUUGUGUUCAGAGCACCUCUCAAAGAGGUUUGACCUUCACAGAGCAAGAUUAUCACCUCCUUUGCUCUAGAUGUUAUGCUCCUAAUAACACAGCUUCAAGCUCCUCGGGUGUUUUGGAUUCCCCAGUACUCAGGUUGUCUCUGCAGCCAACAGCGAUCAUCUCCCCCACCCGCCCAAAGCUGCUUGGAACUGGCUGAUGGCUGGCUGGCCAUGAGACUCACCUCUCACCUGCAGGGAGCAGCUGAGUCCCCUGGCCCCAGGCAGAGGAGGCCAACCCCUCAGUCCAGACCUGCUUUACUGAUGUUCAGUAUGGGCUGAGCUCAGAGGGGUGUGCAGGCUGGGGAAGAGGAACCAAUGUAUCUUCCAACAAGACCUGGAAAGAUGACAGGCUGCUGUGUGGACAAGGGGUAGGAGCAGAGGGCACAACCUGGGCGAGGGGUCAGGAGUGGCAGGCAUGGCAGGAGCUGCUGUGGCUGGGAAACCUGGGAGCUCACAGGGACCCUGCCAGUGAAAGGCGUGCAGGCAGGUUGGGCCUCAUGAAGUCUCCAAACACCACAUAAGAGCUGUGGCUUUAGCCAGAUGUGGUGCCUCACGCCUGUAAUUCUAGCACCUUGGGAGGCUGAGCUGGGCAGGUCACCUGAGCUCAGGAGUUCAAAACCAGCCUGGGGAACAUAGUGAAACCUUAUAUCUACUAAAAUACAAAAAAAAUAGCCAGGCAUGGUGGUGCACUCCUAUAGUCCCAGGUACUCAGGAGGCUGAGGCAGGAGAAUUGCUUGAACCCAGGAGGUGGAGACUGCGGUGAGCACAGAUUGUGCCACUGCACUCCAGCCUGGGCCACAGAACAAGACUCUGACUCAAAAAAAUAAAAAUAAGUUUUUAUUUAACAUUAAAGAAGCCAUGGCUGACCCCUGGAGGCUGCUAGGAGUUGGGUUCAGGGGCUCUGUGUUACAUAGGAGAGAGCAGGCUACACUGGAGGGUGCAGGAGACCAGAAGCCAGGGGCCCGGAGGAGGCUGUUGCGGUUGCCAUAGGGACGGGGAAGGGGGCAGCUGGCCACAGAGGGAUGACAUGUGUGGGGAAAGGGUUGUGUGAACUAGUGGUAACUGCAGUCAGGGGGUGCCAUUCUCAGCUUGUCACCCUCAGGAAACUCACCUGGAGACACACAGGUAGGGGCAGGAAGAUGUAUUCCUGUAAGAAGAAGCCAGGUGUGGUGGAACUGGGGCCACUGGUCAUCCUACCCCAAUAGGAAGGCUUCCUGGAGGAAGUGUCUGGAGCCAGGUCAGGUGUCAGCAGACUGGAUAGAGUCCCCCGCUCUCCAACU